UACAGAGGGUGCAAGCGUUGCUCGGAAUCAUUGGGCGUAAAGGGCAGGUAGGUGGUCUCAUUUGUCCGGGGUGAAAGCCUGGGGCUUAACCCCAGAAGGGCCCCGGAAACGGUGAGACUAGAGUACUGGAGAGGGUCGUGGAAUUCCCGGUGUAGCGGUGAAAUGCGUAGAGAUCGGGAGGAACACCAGAGGCGAAGGCGGCUUUCUGGCCUGUUCUUGACGCUGAGGCGCGAAAGCCAGGGGAGCAAAACGGG
rnacentral:rRNA from 1 species